GGCGUAGGGGGCCAGCGUUGUUCGGAAUUACUGGGUGUAAAGGGUUCGUAGGCGGUGUGGCAAGUCGGGAGUGAAAUCUCUGGGCUCAACCCAGAGACUGCUUCCGAAACUGCUGUGCUUGAGUGUGAGAGAGGCUCGUGGAAUUGCAGGUGUAGCGGUGAAAUGCGUAGAUAUCUGCAGGAACACCCGUGGCGAAAGCGGCGAGCUGGAUCACUACUGACGCUGAGGAACGAAAGCUAGGGGAGCAAACAGG
rnacentral:rRNA from 1 species